ACGCUGGCGGCAGGCCUAACACAUGCAAGUCGAGCGGCAGCACGGGUGCUUGUACCUGGUGGCGAGCGGCGGACGGGUGAGUAAUGCCUAGGAAUCUGCCUGGUAGUGGGGGAUAACGCUCGGAAACGGACGCUAAUACCGCAUACGUCCUACGGGAGAAAGCAGGGGACCUUCGGGCCUUGCGCUAUCAGAUGAGCCUAGGUCGGAUUAGCUAGUUGGUGAGGUAAUGGCUCACCAAGGCGACGAUCCGUAACUGGUCUGAGAGGAUGAUCAGUCACACUGGAACUGAGACACGGUCCAGACUCCUACGGGAGGCAGCAGUGGGGAAUAUUGGACAAUGGGCGAAAGCCUGAUCCAGCCAUGCCGCGUGUGUGAAGAAGGUCUUCGGAUUGUAAAGCACUUUAAGUUGGGAGGAAGGGCAUUUACCUAAUACGUAAGUGUUUUGACGUUACCGACAGAAUAAGCACCGGCUAACUCUGUGCCAGCAGCCGCGGUAAUACAGAGGGUGCAAGCGUUAAUCGGAAUUACUGGGCGUAAAGCGCGCGUAGGUGGUUUGUUAAGUUGAAUGUGAAAUCCCCGGGCUCAACCUGGGAACUGCAUCCAAAACUGGCAAGCUAGAGUAUGGUAGAGGGUGGUGGAAUUUCCUGUGUAGCGGUGAAAUGCGUAGAUAUAGGAAGGAACACCAGUGGCGAAGGCGACCACCUGGACUGAUACUGACACUGAGGUGCGAAAGCGUGGGGAGCAAAC
rnacentral:rRNA from 1 species